rnacentral:rRNA from 1 species
CGGUAAUUCCAGCUCCAAUAGCGUAUACUAAAGUUGUUGCAGUUAAAAAGCUCGUAGUUGGAUUUCUGCGGGGACGGAGCGGCCGGACGCAACUUGCGUCUCGAGCUAGCGCUUUCCCCGCAUCCUGCCGCGAACCGUGCUACCAUUAGCUUGGUGGCGCUGGGGAUCGGCUCGAUUACUUUGAGAAAAAUAGAGUGUUCAAAGCAGGCCACACGCCUUGAAUAAGUUAGCAUGGAAUAAUGACUAAGGACUUCGGUUCUAUUUUGUUGGUGUUCGGGACUGAAGUAAUGAUUGAUAGGGACAGUUGGGGCGGUCUGUAUUCCAAAGCGAGAGGUGAAAUUCUCAGACCUUCGGAAGACAAACAGCUGCGAAAGCGUUCCGCAAGGAUGUUCCCUUUGAUCAAGAACGAAAGUUGGGGGAUCGAAGACGAUCAGAUACCGUCGUAGUCUCAACUAUAAACUAUACCAGCUAGGGAUCGGUCAACGUUUAAUCAUUCGACUUGAUCGGCACCUUAUGAGAAAUCAAAGCAUCUGGGUUCCGGGGGGAGUAUGGUCGCAAGGCUGAAACUUAAAGGAAUUGACGGAAGGGCACCACCAGCCGUGGAGCCUGUGGCUUAAUUUGACUCAACACGGGAAAACUUACCAGGUCCAGACAUAGUAAGGAUUGACAGAUUGAUAGCUCUUUCUUGAUUCUGUGGGUGGUGGUGCAUGGCCGUUCUUAGUUGGUGGAGUGAUUUGUCUGGUUAAUUCCGUUAACGAACGAGACCCCAGCCUGCUAAAUAGCGCGGCUGAGCUUUGCUCGGUGCGAGCUUCUUAGAGGGACUAUGAUGCGCGAUAGCACAUGGAAGUUUGGGGCAAUAACAGGUCUGUGAUGCCCUUAGAUGUUCUGGGCCGCACACGGGCUACACUGGCGCCUGCAACGAGCAUAUCAGCUGGCCCGAGAGGGUCUUGGCUAAUCUUUUGAACCGGCGCCGUGCUUGGGAUUGACCAUUGCAAUUGUUGGUCAUGCAACGAGGAAUGCCUUGUAAACGCGAGUCAUCAGCUCGCAUUGAAUACGUCCCUGCCCUUUGUACACACCGCCCGUCGCUCCUACCGAUGAAUGUUCCGAUGAAAUUUUCGGAGAGCGCCAGAGAACGGGGCUCUGCCUUGCAGAUCUGGAGGCUCAAAGUCACUUAAAUCUGAACAUUUCGAGGAAGGAGAAGUCGUAACAAGGUAGCC